UACGUAGGGGGCUAGCGUUGUCCGGAAUCAUUGGGCGUAAAGAGCGUGUAGGCGGUCCGGUAAGUCCGCUGUGAAAGUCGGGGGCUCAACCCUCGAAUGCCGGUGGAUACUGCUUGGCUUGAGACCGGAAGAGGUGAGUGGAACUGCGAGUGUAGAGGUGAAAUUCGUAGAUAUUCGCAAGAACACCAGUGGCGAAGGCGGCUCACUGGUCCGGAUCUGACGCUGAGGCGCGAAAGCGUGGGGAGCAAACAGG
rnacentral:rRNA from 1 species